GGCACGCAACUCCUACUUCGUGCGAUAAGUACUAAUACUUACAUGGAUAUUCCUGUUUCGUGUUGUAAAUUCGUUAUAUCGCGUUAUAUUUGCUGGAAUUUAGUGCUAAUAGACGGGUUUUAGUCGCUAAAUAUUUAUCGAGUGUGUAAUCUUCGGAAUUCAAUGUUUUGUGUGUUUAUUACAGUCUUGCGUGUAUCUGGAUCGGUUGCCGUCGGACGCCAGCCGGUCAUGUUGUGUGAUUGUAAAUAUUAUUUUGGACUUGUGUGAACCAUUUGUGUCUUCAGCAGAACACGACUGACGGCUGUUCUACCUGAACUUGCUGUGCCCUAGCAAUCCAAUGAGCACUGCAUUGUGAUCUCAGCGAAAAACAGCGAAGUACGAGAAGACCGCAAUUCAGAGAAGCAAGUUGGGAAUAAUAAGAAUAAGGAAGAAGUGGUAGGAGUACAGAAUAAGAUGUGAAAGCCAUCCCAAGAAUACGCUAGUAAAGUAUCUACCUUAGCGCCUCCUCGUGGCUUAUUUCUUAAAUAUGAAUUAAUAAUUUUACAAAAUGGAUAAAAAAGUAUCAAGUCGUGCUUGUUGCGUUGUCGACUGUAAAAACACUCAAAGGAAAAAUCCAGAAUUGCAAUUUCACCGUUUUCUUGGAUAU